UUUGUAGCUGCAUAUUUCUGGGUGCUUAGGUCAUUUUUCUAUGUAUAGUUCUUUCUCUGUGUUUUUUCAUGCAGUUGGAGUUACUAUAUUUAUAUAUACGCUUAUACCUAUUUCUUCAACAUAACCAAAUUCUCUGCUAUUGGCUUUUUAUUUUUAAUUAUUUCUUUCUUUUGGGAGUGUAAAGGCUUUGAGAGGGAAAGCCUUUGCCUUAUUAGUUUUACUGCCACUGGAUUUUAGUUUACUACCUAUGAUUCCAUUUGUUGGGGAAGGAGGGGAUCAGUUCACCAGAACUGACUACCUAGCUAAUUAGUAGUUGGGUUGGGACUUUGAGACAGAUGGUGGAGCAGAGGCAGUACAUAUUUUUCUUCAGUAGUUGUUCGAUCCCAUUACUCGAUGGGUGGUUGGCUUGCUGUACAUUUUUUGAACAAUCAUUCACCGAUUCGCCAUUGUUAGUGCUCUAGUAAUUUUUUACACUGUUUUUCUCCGGUAGAAUCAGGAAGUAUAAUCUAUUUUCAAUCAUAAAGUGUAAAAAUUUUUAUUCCUUGCAGUAAGUGUGCUCUCAUCGUUACGGAAAUUUAUGUCAUUUAUUCAUAGUUUA